GAUGAACGCUGGCGGCGUGCCUAAUACAUGCCAGUCGAGCGAACAGACGAGGAGCUUGCUCCUCUGACGUUAGCGGCGGACGGGUGAGUAACACGUGGAUAACCUACCUAUAAGGCUGGGAUAACUUCGGGAAACCGGAGCUAAUACCGGAUAAUAUAUUGAACCGCAUGGUUCAAUAGUGAAAGACGGUUUUGCUGUCACUUAUAGAUGGAUCCGCGCCGCAUUAGCUAGUUGGUAAGGUAACGGCUUACCAAGGCAACGAUGCGUAGCCGACCUGAGAGGGUGAUCGGCCACACUGGAACUGAGACACGGUCCAGACUCCUACGGGAGGCAGCAGUAGGGAAUCUUCCGCAAUGGGCGAAAGCCUGACGGAGCAACGCCGCGUGAGUGAUGAAGGUCUUCGGAUCGUAAAACUCUGUUAUUAGGGAAGAACAAAUGUGUAAGUAACUAUGCACGUCUUGACGGUACCUAAUCAGAAAGCCACGGCUAACUACGUG
rnacentral:rRNA from 1 species